GCUUUCCUGUGGCUCAGUUGGUAAAGUACUCUGCUAGCAACGCAAAUGUUGUGGGUUCAAACACCAGGGAAAGCA